rnacentral:rRNA from 1 species
UACGUAGGGUGCAAGCGUUUGUCCGGAAUUAUUGGGCGUAAAGAGCUCGUAGGCGGUCUGUCGCGUCUGCUGUGAAAACCUAGGGCUUAACUCUGGGCGUGCAGUGGGUACGGGCAUGACUGGAGUUCGGCAGGGGAGACUGGAAUUCCUGGUGUAGCGGUGAAAUGCGCAGAUAUCAGGAGGAACACCGGUGGCGAAGGCGGGUCUCUGGGCCGAUACUGACGCUGAGGAGCGAAAGCGUGGGGAGCGAACAGG